rnacentral:sRNA from 1 species
GCCAGGCAUGGUGGUGCAUGCCUAUAAUCCCAGUGACUCAGGAAGCUGAGGCAGGAGGAUAGAGUUCAAAGCCAGCCUCAGCAAAAGCGAGAUGCUAAGCAAUUCAGUGAGACCCUGUCUCUA